CUAUGGUUUCUAGGGAAGCCCUAGGUGAGGGGGCUGGGUUGGUAGGUGUUUCCUUCACAUAGCUUCUUCCUUUGCCCUCCCAGUGUUGCUGUGUUUGCCAUUGUCCUUCUCAACCAUCAGGUUCCUGCUCCUAUUUAGAAGCCACAAAACUUCUCAAAUUAUUAUUUUUUGGAAGGUUAAUGCCACUGCACAGUGAAGCUGCUCUCCCACAUAAACAAUGUAGUGAGGCCUCCUGACGUUGUUAUGAAGGGACUCAAAUAUGGCUGAGCUUGCGCUGCGGAAGGAAGGAGCUGAUCAGGACGUCUGUUGGAGGAGGGAUCUGCAGUGUGAAUGGGAAAAACCCAACAGGAGAAGGGGGGACGUCAGCUGCCAGCACUGUCUCCUUUGAAGAUCUCCGCAGCCGGAUGGAGGAUCAGGUUGCUAGCAAACUCUCUCUUCCCAAAACAGCCUGCCCUUAAAAAAAGGAGAGUGAAGCACAGAUUGCCAGGGGCCUUUUCUAGUCGCCCCCUCACCCUGCAAGUCUCCUGUCCUGUCAUAUAGCAGGUCAAUAGUCCUCUCCAUGGCUUUGCUGUAGCCAGGCUGUGGGGCAGGGACACAUAUCCUGUCUGUGUAACUCACUAACCCACUGCGUUUAGGAUGCAAAGCAUUUCUUUGUGGUACUGGAAAUAGCCAGCACUCAGGGUUUCACUUGCUUUCAAACCCAUUUGUUUCUAAUAUACUGGGUAACUAGCAGGUUUCACCCGUGUAUGUUGUUCUGUAAAUUCUGAGGCUGUAUCUUUCAGUGAGACAGUGUACAAAUUGCAGGGUCAAAGAUGGGAGAUGGGGUGUUUUUCUAAACAGGUGAAAAUGGGUAAGAAAGAGUCAAAAUAAUAAAUUCUUGGGAUGAAUUUUCAAUUUAAUGGAAGUUUGAGCAAGAAAAAAAAGAAAAGCUUUUGUCACUGACACAGUUAAAUAUAAGUUUCACAUGUUUUAAAAUUAUCCAAAUCUAUUCAUUAGAAAUUCAUAUCUUAUCCUGUACAAGAAGUAUAAAAACGGAUGCUGACUUUUAGGAAUGUCCCUCAAGACCUUUAUACACCUAUAUUCUGUUGCCUUUCCUUUCAUUCUCUUGUCAGUCAAUACUUAACCCUUUUGGAUUCUGACCUUUUCAUAGUCCGAAGGCUCAGUAUAGAGCUGAUCAGAUAGUUAAAAGGAUAUUCUUGCAUAUUUUCACAUAUCAAAGCACUAUGCUUGGUUUACUGUGAUUUGUGGGUUAUAUUAUUACAAGUACACAGGCGCUUGUUCACUGAGGCACUAAGUCUCUCAAAGUAUUCCCUAAUCUGUUUCACAAAGCUUUAUUUAUUUGAAAAUUCAUCCCAUAAAUUUAUUCUUUUUAUUCUUUCUUGCAUAUUAAAUCAGAUGUUUAAAAAGCUGAUCAAAUCAGCAAGUGUAAAAGUUUCCAUAUGAUUUGUUUCCGUAUUUCAGCCCCCCUAAAUAGCCAAAGCAAAUACUGUGAAGAAGAGUAUAUGAGGCUAGUUAGUAAGCACUGAUAAAAUUCUUUCAAAUCCUUUAACCCAAAUGGGAGUAAGUCUGUAAAAUAAUGACUAAAAAGAUAAAUAUUCAAACAUCUCUACACAUCUAAACCAUUCCUAAGUAUGUAGCAGUCUCAAGCUCAUACUAAUAUCUGUUGUCUAGUUUCAGGAGUAAAUGGAAAUUGUCACAGAAAAGGUGACAGUAUUACUUCUUGUUGGAACUGAGAACCAAAAUGAAGCAGCUGUACAUCAGAGAGAAAACCUGAACCAAAAGACUGAUAAUGAGUGUGGCAGCUGCUGGAUUCAAACACUCAGAAAGACCCACAAGUCCCACAGUGUUGUCUGAGCUCUGCCCUGGGCUGCUGCUCCUUCAAAAAUGUCUAGAGGACCCAAGUCAAGGUGAUGAUGGAUGCUUACCAGCUGUGGGAGUCAUCAAUGGGAACUGCUGCUGCUCUGAAGGUACCCAAAGUCUUUCUUGACAUUCUCCAUUUUGUGCAACCACCUGGAUGGGGUGGGAGUGAAGUUGCCCUGUGCAUAUUUCUGUUACAUUGGCAGAAGUGCCCCAGGCUUAUUACAUUACACACAUACCCUCCCUAGACUGAGCUGCUGUGUCUGCUGUCCCCAUCCUCAUGUAGUGCACAGGAUGUCUCUGCUGUUAAAAUUAAUGAAGGCUGUAUUAUGAAGCAAGCUCUUGGCUGUAGAGUCCUCACCCAAGUGCUCCUGUAGCUGGAAGAAACACAGCCCAUGAGGCAGCCCGUUACAAGAAAGAAGAUUACAGCGGUGCCUUAGGAAUUCAGCUGUGGGAUGCCAUACCUGCUCCUGCCACUGCAUCUAUACAUGAUGUUGUCCAAAUCACUUAAAGCAGGCUCUUUGAGUGCUGAGCUGAUAGAAAACAGGACAAGCCACCUGAAAGUGCCCCUGGAGGUCAGAAGGAAGAUGAGUGGUGCAUAAGGAACACAAAGUCUGUGAAACCAAACCAUUGGAAGAAUACCUCUGAGGUGGUUGUCUUCUAUCACCUCCUUACCACUGUGAGGAAAGGCAAGGCAAGAGGAAGGGUGGAAAGAGCACUGAAUAUUUCUUUUAUUCCACAGAAGUUUAGGUGCUGAACUUGUUAGGAAUUUUAUGAUGUGCAAAAGGAGCUCCUAACGUUAUUACGCCAUUUCCCCUUUCUCUCCACUUCUAUUACAUUAGGAGCCUGGUGAUGAGUGCUGGAUGCUUGGAGAACAAGAAGCAAGGGCUUGUCUCAGCAGCAUGUGGGCAAGUAGGAAAAUAGUGUCCGUGUUGUCUCCCCUGGAAUAAUAAGGCACAAUCUGAGUGCAGACAGCAGAGCAACCUUCUGGGCUGCAAGCAAAUGAGGGGUAGCAGCAGCAGCAUGGCAUUUUCUUGAGGCCACAGUCUGAGACUGUUGCUGCAGCCUUCACAGAAUCACAGGAUCACAGAAUCAUCCGGGUUGGAAGGGUCUGGAAAUCACCCAUUCCAACCCCCUGCCAAGGCAGGGCCACCCAGAGCAGGUGACACAGGAAGGUGUCAAGGAGAGUCUGGAAUGGCUUCAGAGAUGGAGACCCCACACCCCCCCUGUGCAGCCUGUUCAGUGCU